rnacentral:rRNA from 1 species
GACGAACGCUGGCGGCGUGCCUAAUACAUGCAAGUCGAGCGCAGGAAGUCAUCCGAACCCUUCGGGGGGACGUUGACGGAAUGAGCGGCGGACGGGUGAGUAACACGUAAAGAACCUGCCCUCAGGUCUGGGAUAACCACGGGAAAUCGGGGCUAAUACCGGAUGGGUCAUCGGACCGCAUGGUCCGAGGAUGAAAGGCGCUCCGGCGUCGCCUGGGGAUGGCUUUGCGGUGCAUUAGCUAGUUGGUGGGGUAAUGGCCCACCAAGGCGACGAUGCAUAGCCGACCUGAGAGGGUGAUCGGCCACACUGGGACUGAGACACGGCCCAGACUCCUACGGGAGGCAGCAGUAGGGAAUCUUCCACAAUGGACGAAAGUCUGAUGGAGCAACGCCGCGUGAACGAUGAAGGCCCUCGGGUCGUAAAGUUCUGUUGUAAGGGAAGAACAAGUGCCGCAGGCAAUGGCGGCACCUUGACGGUACCUUGCGAGAAAGCCACGGCUAACUACGUG